UACGUAGGGUGCGAGCGUUGUCCGGAUUUAUUGGGCGUAAAGAGCUCGUAGGCGGUUUGUUGCGUCGGCCGUGAAAACCUGCAGCUUAACUGUGGGCUUGCGGUCGAUACGGGCAGACUUGAGUUCGGUAGGGGAGACUGGAAUUCCUGGUGUAGCGGUGAAAUGCGCAGAUAUCAGGAGGAACACCGGUGGCGAAGGCGGAUCUCUGGGCCUUACCUGACGCUGAGGAGCGAAAGCAUGGGGAGCAAACAGG
rnacentral:rRNA from 1 species